rnacentral:rRNA from 1 species
UACGGGGGGGGCAAGCGUUGUUCGGAAUUACUGGGCGGAAAGGGCUCGUAGGCGGCCAACUAAGUCAGACGUGAAAUCCCCAGGCUCAACCUGGGAACUGCGUCUGAUACUGGAUGGCUUGAAUUCGGGAGAGGGAUGCAGAAUUCCAGGUGUAGCGGUGAAAUUCGUAGAUAUUGGGAAGAACACCGGUGGCGAAGGCGGCUAUCUGGCCCGUAAUUGACGCUGAGGCGCGAAAGCGUGGGGAGCAAACAGG